GCACGGAGUUAGCCGGUGCUUCUUCUGCGAGUAACGUCACAGUUGCUGGGUAUUAGCCAACAACCUUUCCUCCUCGCUGAAAGUGCUUUACAACCCGAAGGCCUUCUUCACACACGCGGCAUGGCUGCAUCAGGGUUUCCCCCAUUGUGCAAUAUUCCCCA
rnacentral:rRNA from 1 species